AUGGCCCUCCUGCACUCCAGCUGCAUCCUCUCUGGGAUGGCUGCUCCCUUUUACCCAAGCCUUGCUGGGGCAGCCUCUGCCACGGCCAGCUCCUGGUGGACCCAUGUCGAAAUGGGACCUCCAGAUCCCAUCCUGGGAGUUUCCAAAGCACUCAAGAGAGAUACCAACAGCAAGAAGGUGAACCUGGGAGUUGGUGCCUACCAGGAUGAUAACAGAAAGCCUUCCAUGCUACCCAGUGUCUGGAGGCAGAGGCUCAGAUUGCUGAAAAAAAAAAAAAAUCUGACAAAGAAUACCUGCCCAUGGGGGACUGGCUGAAUUUUGUAUGGCUUCUGCAGAACUGGCCCUGGACAAGAACAACGAAGUGUAGAAAGACAGGUUUGUCACUGUGCAGACCAUUUCCAGGACUGGAGCCUUAAGGGUCAGAGCCACUUUUCUGCAAAGAUUUUUUUAAGUUCAGCAGAGAUGACUUUCUGCCCAAACCACCCUAGGGAAAUCACACGCCCAUCUUCAGGGAUGCUGGCAUCCAGCUCCAAGGUUGUCUCUACUAUGACCCCAAAACUUGCAGCUUUGAUUUCUCCUGACCCCAGAAGACAUACCAAAAAUCCCAGAGCAGUGUUCUCCUCCUGCAUGCCCUGUGCUCACCACCCACGGGCGUGGACCCGCGUCCAAAGCAGUGGAAGGAAUGGCAUCUGUGGUGAAGAAACUUAAUCUCUUUGCAUUCUUCGACAUGGCCUACCAAGGCUUUGCCAGCGGUGAUGGUGAUAAGGAUGCCUGGGCUGGCCGUGAGGCACUUCAUCGAGCAGGGCAUUAAUAUCUGCCUCUUCCAAUCAUAUGCCAAGAACAUGGGCCUGUAUGAUGAGCGGGUGAGAGCCUUCAUAGUGGUUUGCAAAGAUGCUGAAGAAGCCAAAAGGGUGGAGUCACAGCUAAAGAUCCUGAUCCAUUCCCUGUAUAACAACGCACCUCUCGAUGGGGCCCAGAUUGCCGCAACCAUCCUGACUUCUCCAGAUUUGCAGAAGCAAUGGUUGCAAGAGGUGAAAGGCAUGGCUGACCGCAUCAUCAGAGUGAGGACCCAGCUGGUCUCCAACCUGAAGGAAGAGGGCUCUUCCCACAACUGGCAGCACAUCACCAACCAGAUUGGCUUGUUCUGUUUCACUGGUCUAAAGCCCGAGCAGGUGGAGCGGCUGACCAAGGAGUUCUCAGUCUUCAUGACAAAGGAUGGCAGAAUCUUCGUGGCGGGGGUCACCUCUGGCUAUGUGGGCUACCUUGUCCAUGCCAGUCACCAGGUCACCAAGUAAUUCCCAGGUGCGAAGGAACAGAGACCACUUUCCCUUCAGCCUUUGAACUCAUGA